rnacentral:rRNA from 1 species
UACGGGAGGCAGCAGUGGGGAAUAUUGCACAAUGGGCGCAAGCCUGAUGCAGCCAUGCCGCGUGUAUGAAAAAGGCCUUCGGGUUGUAAAGUACUUUCAGUCGUGAGGAAGGUGUUAAGGUUAAUAACCUUAGCAAUUGACGUUAGCGACAGAAGAAGCACCGGCUAACUCCGUGCCAGCAGCCGCGGUAAUACGGGGGUGCGAGCGUUAAUCGGAAUUACUGGGCGUAAAGGGCACGCAGGCGGUUAAUUAAGUUGGAUGUGAAAUCCCCGGGCUUAACCUGGGAAUGGCAUUCAAGACUGGUUAGCUAGAGUCUUGUAGAGGGGGUAGAAUUCCAUGUGUAGCGGUGAAAUGCGUAGAGAUGUGGAGGAAUACCGGUGGCGAAGGCGGCCCCUGGACAAAGACUGACGCUCAUGUGCGAAAGCGUGGGGAGCAAACAGGGAUUAGAUACC